rnacentral:rRNA from 1 species
UACGAAGGGGGCUAGCGUUGUUCGGAAUUACUGGGCGUAAAGCGCACGUAGGCGGAUAUUUAAGUCAGGGGUGAAAUCCUGGAGCUCAACUCCAGAACUGCCUUUGAUACUGAGGAUCUUGAGUUCGGGAGAGGUGAGUGGAACUGCGAGUGUAGAGGUGAAAUUCGUAGAUAUUGGGAAGAACACCGAUGGCGAAGGCAGCCAUCUGGACCGACACUGACGCUGAGGCGCGAAAGCGUGGGGAGCGAACAGG